rnacentral:rRNA from 1 species
GACGAACGCUGGCGGCGUGCUUAACACAUGCAAGUCGAACGGAAAGGCCCUGCUUUUGUGGGGUGCUCGAGUGGCGAACGGGUGAGUAACACGUGAGUAACCUGCCCUUGACUUUGGGAUAACUUCAGGAAACUGGGGCUAAUACCGGAUAGGAGCUCCUGCUGCAUGGUGGGGGUUGGAAAGUUUCGGCGGUUGGGGAUGGACUCGCGGCUUAUCAGCUUGUUGGUGGGGUAGUGGCUUACCAAGGCUUUGACGGGUAGCCGGCCUGAGAGGGUGACCGGCCACAAUGGGACUGGGAUACCGCCCAGACUCCUACGGGAGGCAGCAGGGGGGAAUUUUGCACAAUGGGCGGAAGCCUGAUGCAGCAACGCCGCGUGCGGGAUGACGGCCUUCGGGUUGUAAACCGCUUUCGCCUGUGACGAAGCGUGAGUGACGGUAAUGGGUAAAGAAGCACCGGCUAACUACGUG